GUAUGUCAGUGAGCUUUUCUGUAGGGAACAUGUGUGUGUCAGUGAGCUUGUCCAUGGUGAGCUUGUAUGACAGUGAGCUCACCACAAACAGGCUCACUGACACACACAUGCUCCCUACAGAAAAGCUCACUGACA